AUUGAACGCUGGCGGCAGGCCUAACACAUGCAAGUCGAACGGUAACAGGAAGCAGCUUGCUGCUUUGCUGACGAGUGGCGGACGGGUGAGUAAUGUCUGGGAAACUGCCUGGUGGAGGGGGAUAACUACUGGAAACGGUAGCUAAUACCGCAUAACGUCGCAAGACCAAAGAGGGGGACCUUCGGGCCUCUUGCCAUCGGAUGUGCCCAGAUGGGAUUAGCUAGUAGGUGGGGUAACGGCUCACCUAGGCGACGAUCCCUAGCUGGUCUGAGAGGAUGACCAGCCACACUGGAACUGAGACACGGUCCAGACUCCUACGGGAGGCAGCAGUGGGGAAUAUUGCACAAUGGGCGCAAGCCUGAUGCAGCCAUGCCGCGUGUAUGAAGAAGGCCUUCGGGUUGUAAAGUACUUUCAGCGGGGAGGAAGGGAGUAAAGUUCAUACCUUUGCUAAUUGACGUUACCCGCAGAAGAAGCACCGGCUAACUCCGUG
rnacentral:rRNA from 1 species